CUUUUCGAUGCCCUCCAUCGCCAAGGCCCAGUGGGAAGGUCGGGGUCUCCCAUGGACCAUCCCUUGGGCUCAUGAUGGCGGUGGGCUAACACUCUUCACAGAGCACGCUAACGCUGAGGCACCGUGGAGAGGCGUUUCCAGGGCCUGAAGGUGGUGAUCCAGGCCCCUGGAGAGAGAGAGACGAGCAGGACAAGAUGGACAGAGUUCACUUCCCAAGGAUGCUGAACCCUGCACAAGGUGGAAGUGACUGAGCAGUGCGAGUCAGUUGGAUCAAUGGAACUAAGGGCUAUGGCUCUGUUGUAUCCGUGGCUCAAGAAGGCCCUGCGGGGGAGCCGGGCAUUUGAGACGCUGAGCAGCACAAAAGAUAACUGGAUGGUCUGGCCAAAGGACUUGGGGAACCCAGAGUGGCGCUCACCGGGAAGCCGACUCACCCUCUGGCUCUGCAGAGAGUGGCCCCACUGCGCAAGAACUGCUGGGGCCGAAAAGGAUGAACCUUAUGAGGUGAGAAGCUGGGUCCGGAGACCCCAGUCUCACCUCGGGGCGAAAAGGAGAAAUUC